rnacentral:rRNA from 1 species
AUUGAACGCUGGCGGCAGGCCUAACACAUGCAAGUCGAACGAGUGGCGGACGGGUGAGUAAUGUCUGGGAAACUGCCUGAUGGAGGGGGCAAACUACUGGAAACGGUAACUAUUACCGCUUACCAUCAGGUUUGCCCAGAUGGGAUUGGCUGGUUGGUGGGGUAACGGCUCACCAAGGCGACGAUCCCUAGCUGGUCGGAGGGGAUGACCAGCCACACUGGAACUGAGACACGGUCCAGACUCCGACGGGAGGCAGCAGUGGGGAAUAUUGCACAAUGGGCGCAAGCCUGAUGCAGCCAUGCCGCGUGUAUGAAGAAGGCCUUCGGGUUGUAAAGUACUUUCAGCGGGGAGGCGGUACCCGCAGAAGAAGCACCGGCUAACUCCGUGCCAGCAGCCGCGGUAAUUC